UACGGAGGGUGCAAGCGUUGUCCGGAAUCACUGGGCGUAAAGGGCGCGUAGGCGGCUCAUGAAGGCUGUGGUGAAAGUCCGGGGCUCAACCUCGGGUCGGCCGUGGCGACUCGUGGGCUGGAGCACUGUAGAGGCGGGUGGAAUUCCGGGUGUAGCGGUGGAAUGCGUAGAGAUCCGGAAGAACACCAGUGGCGAAGGCGGCCCGCUGGGCAGUGGCUGACGCUGAGGCGCGACAGCGUGGGGAGCAAACAGG
rnacentral:rRNA from 1 species